rnacentral:rRNA from 1 species
UUUCCCUACGGGAGGCAGCAGUGAGGAAUAUUGGUCAAUGGGCGAGAGCCUGAACCAGCCAAGUCGCGUGAGGGAAGACGGUCCUAUGGAUUGUAAACCUCUUUUGCCGGGGAGCAAAAAGCGGUACGUGUACCGCAUCGAGAGUACCCGGAGAAAAAGCAUCGGCUAACUACGUGCCAGCAGCCGCGGUAAUACGUAGGGGGCAAGCGUUAUCCGGAUUCACUGGGCGUAAAGGGAGCGCAGGCGGCAUGGCAAGUCUGAUGUGAAAACCCGGGGCCCAACCCCGGGAGUGCAUUGGAAACUGC